UACGGUGGGGGCAAGCGUUGUUCGGAAUUACUGGGCGUAAAGGGCUCGUAGGUGGCCAACUAAGUCAGACGUGAAAUCCCUCGGCUUAACCGGGGAACUGCGUCUGAUACUGGAUGGCUUGAGUUCGGGAGAGGGAUGCGGAAUUCCAGGUGUAGCGGUGAAAUGCGUAGAUAUCUGGAGGAACACCGGUGGCGAAGGCGGCAUCCUGGACCGACACUGACGCUGAGGAGCGAAAGCCAGGGGAGCAAACGGG
rnacentral:rRNA from 1 species